rnacentral:misc_RNA from 1 species
AAGCAUUGAACGAGAAGAAACCAGCGACUAUGAAAGAUGAUGAUUAGGAGGAGCUUCAACAAAGGGUUGUGAGUAUGAUUAAAUUGACGUUAGCCCCAAAUGUAAAGUAGAAUGUCUUAGAGAAAACCUCGCUUGUUGUUUUGUGGAAGAAAUUAGAGAGUCUGUACAUGUCAAAAUCUCUCAUAAAUCAUUUGUACUUGAAGAAGGA